GAGUUUGAUCCUGGCUCAGAUUGAACGCUGGCGGCAGGCCUAACACAUGCAAGUCGAGCGGAAACGAGUUAUCUGAACCUUCGGGGAACGAUAACGGCGUCGAGCGGCGGACGGGUGAGUAAUGCCUAGGAAAUUGCCCUGAUGUGGGGGAUAACCAUUGGAAACGAUGGCUAAUACCGCAUGAUGCCUACGGGCCAAAGAGGGGGACCUUCGGGCCUCUCGCGUCAGGAUAUGCCUAGGUGGGAUUAGCUAGUUGGUGAGGUAAGGGCUCACCAAGGCGACGAUCCCUAGCUGGUCUGAGAGGAUGAUCAGCCACACUGGAACUGAGACACGGUCCAGACUCCUACGGGAGGCAGCAGUGGGGAAUAUUGCACAAUGGGCGCAAGCCUGAUGCAGCCAUGCCGCGUGUGUGAAGAAGGCCUUCGGGUUGUAAAGCACUUUCAGUCGUGAGGAAGGUAGUGUAGUUAAUAGCUGCAUUAUUUGACGUUAGCGACAGAAGAAGCACCGGCUAACUCCGUGCCAGCAGCCGCGGUAAUACGGGGGGUGCGAGCGUUAAUCGGAAUUACUGGGCGUAAAGCGCAUGCAGGUGGUUUGUUAAGUCAGAUGUGAAAGCCCGGGGCUCAACCUCGGAAUAGCAUUUGAAACUGGCAGACUAGAGUACUGUAGAGGGGGGUAGAAUUUCAGGUGUAGCGGUGAAAUGCGUAGAGAUCUGAAGGAAUACCGGUGGCGAAGGCGGCCCCCUGGACAGAUACUGACACUCAGAUGCGAAAGCGUGGAGAGCAAACAGGAUUAGAUACCCUGGUAGUCCACGCCGUAAACGAUGUCUACUUGGAGGUUGUGGCCUUGAGCCGUGGCUUUCGGAGCUAACGCGUUAAGUAGACCGCCUGGGGAGUACGGUCGCAAGAUUAAAACUCAAAUGAAUUGACGGGGGCCCGCACAAGCGGUGGAGCAUGUGGUUUAAUUCGAUGCAACGCGAAGAACCUUACCUACUCUUGACAUCCAGAGAACUUUCCAGAGAUGGAUUGGUGCCUUCGGGAACUCUGAGACAGGUGCUGCAUGGCUGUCGUCAGCUCGUGUUGUGAAAUGUUGGGUUAAGUCCCGCAACGAGCGCAACCCUUAUCCUUGUUUGCCAGCGAGUAAUGUCGGGAACUCCAGGGAGACUGCCGGUGAUAAACCGGAGGAAGGUGGGGACGACGUCAAGUCAUCAUGGCCCUUACGAGUAGGGCUACACACGUGCUACAAUGGCGCAUACAGAGGGCGGCCAACUUGCGAAAGUGAGCGAAUCCCAAAAAGCCUAUCGUAGUCCAGAUUGGAGUCUGCAACUCGACUCCAUGAAGUAGGAAUCGCUAGUAAUCGCGGAUCAGAAUGCCGCGGUGAAUACGUUCCCGGGCCUUGUACACACCGCCCGUCACACCAUGGGAGUUGAUUGCACCAGAAGUGGUUAGCCUAACCUUUUAGGAAGGCGAUCACCACGGUGUGGUUGAUGACUGGGGUGAAGUCGUAACAAGGUAACC
rnacentral:rRNA from 1 species